GAGAUCUCCUGCUUUUAGAUCCGGAAUUCUCACUGCCGACUGAACUCGCAACAUGGUGAAAUCCAUUCCCUUGUUUUUGCCAGUACUGCUGUCUUUCUUUCUGUUGCUUGACUCGAGCGAUGCCACAAAACCCUCAACCCAAGCAUUUGAAAGGAACGGAAGAAAUCUUACUACAAUCUCUGCGAAUGUUACAAGAAGUACACUCCCCGCGUAUAUUUCCAGCACACCCACCCACACUACAUCAACACAACCCGAGACGUCUACAACACACCAAAAUGAGAACACAACACCCACUCAGGACUAUUUUUGGCUAAGCCAAACAGCGAUGUCGCCUGUCAUCACUCCAUCUCCUAGAAGUAAGUCCAGACGGG